CGGAGGCAGCAGUGGGGAAUAUUGGACAAUGGGCGAAAGCCUGAUCCAGCAAUGCCGCGUGAGUGAUGAAGGCCUUCGGGUCGUAAAGCUCUUUUACCAGGGAUGAUAAUGACAGUACCUGGAGAAUAAGCUCCUGCUAACUCCGUGCCAGCAGCCGCGGUAAUACGGAGGGAGCUAGCGUUGUUCGGAAUUACUGGGCGUAAAGCGCACGUAGGCGGCUAUUCAAGUCAGAGGUGAAAGCCUGGGGCUCAACCCCAGAACUGCCUUUGAAACUAGAUAGCUAAAAUCUUGGAGAGGUCAGUGGGAUUCCGAGUGUAGAGGUGAAAUUCGUAGAUAUUCGAAAGAACACCAGUGGCGAAGGCGACUGGCUGGACAAGUAUUGACGCUGAGGUGCGAAAGCGUGGGGAGCAAACAGGAUUAGAAACCCGAGUAGUCC
rnacentral:rRNA from 1 species